GGGCGUAUAGCUCAGCGGUAGAGCACUACGUUGACAUCGUAGGGGUCACUGGUUCGAUCCCAGUUACGCCCACCA
rnacentral:tRNA from 2 species